UUUUUCAUGUUUCAAAAAUAACAUGCCAUCCUCUGUAAAGGAAGCCAGGGCUAUUGGCUGGUCCUCAAAAAAGAUGGAUGGGAGUCAGCUGAUUUCUAUUGGUUUUAAUCAGCCAUUCGGAGUUUAAGUCUGGGAUGUGACAUGAGAAUAAAUGCAGUUAAUGAGACCACAAAGUUUUGGCCUCAGCAGCACAAUUUUCUGAUCCUCUGACCUGACUGGUUAUAGAUUACAAUUAAAAAUGCCUUGUAAUUUUACAGUGUUUCGUGCUCUUCACAGAAGUUUAUUUUAUCUGGUUCUCAUACCCUUAAGCCGCCAUGGUUCUUUGUAGAGUUAUAGUUCUCAGGUUUGCAGACCAGCAUGGCACUGGGUGGGGAGCAUGUCUGCAGGGUACUUACUGGAAGUUGGGAGAGACUAAGCUUGGGGUGAAUUCCCUUGGACUGUGUUUUGGAGUGGUGAAGGCUUAGUAAGCCCAGAAGGGAAUUUCUGGUCCUUUGUGGAGGCAGGGACUGUGUCUGUCCUGUUAAUACUGUACUCAUCCCCAGUGUCUAGAAUAGCACAUGGCAUAAGGUAGGCAUCCAGGGAAAGUUGGCUCAGUAUCUCCUUCCCUUGGUGGAGAUGAGAGAAGGAAGCUAAAAUGGACAGAAUGGUGAUUCACUCCCAUCACCUGUGUCCCAAAAUAGAGAUUUCAAUCAACAGUCUCGGGGAGGUUGUGGUUCCCAAAUUGUUCCUAUUUGUACGGGAGGAUGAGCCUAGCUCUCUUUCCACUUCCCUUCUUGUGUCUGACAGGGAGGGUGAGUUGUUAAUUAGGUUAGUCACAGUUCAGAACACUGAGCCAUAUUUACUCAUGGGUAGGACUUUGAGGACAAUGGGCUGGUGUGUUUAGCAACCCACACAGGUUUGUGGGAGCUCAUCUCUUUGGCCUUCUACAGCUGGCCAGAACGUGGUAAGACCCUUCAGCCAUAAAAUUGGGGCAGUGUGUCAACUUAUUAGGGGUUGUCCAAUGGAGUUUCAGGCCCAAACCCAGUUAGAUGUUUAGGUAGAGGUAUGUUGACCAUGUAUGUGCUAUUUUCCCUCGUGCACCUAUCUCUCUUAGGAACACACAGGAAGGAGGGCUGGCUGAGCCAAAGCAGGUCUCGAGAACCGCUGGACCCGUUGUCAGGACCGUAAUAAGAGCCCCUACGUCACCCAGAUCCACGUGUAGACGAUCUUACUGUCCAUUCUCCCUAUUCCUUUUUUUCUUUUUUUUUUUUUAACCUCCACCUCCAGGCUUGUCUACAAUAGCUCUUGGAAAAAGGAGCAUCGCAUUAGUUUCCUGUGAUUGCUGUUAACAAAUUAUCACAAAGUUGGUGGAUUAACAACAGAAAUGUAUUCUCUCACAGUUCUGGAAGCUAAAAGUCUAACACCAAGUCAGCAGGGCGUACUUCUCCUGAGGCUCUCUCCUUGCCUGUUCCAGCUUCUGGUGGCUGCUUCAUUUCUUGGCUUGUCUCUGCCUUACUCCAACCUCUUCCUCCGUCUUCUCCUAGCUUUUUCUGCUUCUGUGUGUGUCAGGUCUCCCCCCGCCUCCCUUUUAUAAGGACACAUAUGAUGGUCCUUGGCACUCACCCAGGUAAUCCAGGAUGGCAUCUCCAUCUCAAGGUCCUUAACUUGCUUACAUCUGCAAAGACACCUUUUCCAAUCAAGGUAACAUUCAAGGUUACAGAGAUGCAGACCUGGUAUCUCUGGGGCCACCACUCAUCCCACUAUUAAGCAGUCUCCAAAAUCUUGCUUUUACUUCUUUUUCCUCCUCCUUUCUCCCUUUAAAAAAGAGACUGGUGUGUCCACAACUGAAUUUCUUUGGGCAGGUUAGGUGCCCAGGUCUUGUUCUUGGGUACGGUGCUGAAAAGGACAAACAGCGCCUUAUUUCUUCUAGUGAUUGUGACAUAUUCUGAAUUGGAAUAAAAAACACAGGACUUCCAGGCUGGUUUUACGUGACACCAACAUCUGGAUGAAAAGCUAAAACAAAUGAAACAAACAAACAAAAAACCCAGCCAGUUAACCAGUUGCUUGUUUCCAAGCAUCUAGAUGUUGGGUCCUUGUAUUGGGGGUGGAGGCAGUCUUGAGAAGAAGAGGAAGGUCACAGGUGGCCUGAUGACAGGAUGUCAAGGGUCUGGAGUGGAGGGCACACUCUUAGGAGUGGGGGGAGAUGAGAGGGAAGGAGGAGGGACUGACUACCGAGUGCAGACCCGCAGAAGUGUGUCCAAAAACUUGGGGUGGAGGCACAAUCAGAAGACAGGAGUAGCUGCAAAUGCUCGGAUCCUGGUCCCUCCAGGCAGCCAUAUUAAAGAUCAAAGGGAAAAAGUCCGUACAUUCCAGAAGGAAUCAGGCAGCCAAGCGCCAGUAUGAAAGCAUUCUUGACUGUCAUAGCCUCGAGUGCAGCGAGCGGGCUCUGUGCUCUGCCCGAGGAGUAGAGAAUGCUCCUUUCGUCUUCACGGGGUCUGAGCUGUGACGGGGAUAUUUUCAGUACAAUCAAAACAAGAUGCUUGGGUGCAAUGGCUCCUUUUUUGCUUCCCUGGGGAUGUUUAGGGUCCUCUGGGAAUAGGAGUAUGAGGGAACCCUGUCUCUUUGGUUUCUGGCUUCUCAAGAGCAACUUAACCCAUUUACAUUUAGGCCUACGCUUUUGGGACAAUGACCUGGUUGACAGCUCCUUUUCCAUUUGGGACUUUCCUGAGAGCUCAGGACUCCAGGAUCCUGAUUUGAGGGUGCUGCUGAGCUCAGUGCCUGAGCGCAGUGGGCCUGACAAAAAAAAGGAUGGCAGGAAAGUUGCUUGAGUCUGAGCUCCUAGGCCUUUAGCCUGGGGUGGUGAUGUGCUUUCUUUUCGUCUCAAACCACAGCGGCGACUCCUCCUCCUCCACUGCCUGGCCUGGAUUUUGGAUUGGCUAAUCGACGCGGACCAUGUGAUUUGGCCAUAGCUCAGCUGAGGCCAGACAUCCAUUUGGGUCCUAGGAGUCAGUGCAGUUGGCGAUUAAGGGCCCAGGCUGUGAAUUUAGUGAUCCUGCCACUUACUAGCUGAGUGGACUCAGACCUCUGCUUCUUUCUCUGUGGGAGUGUGAGGAUGCCCACCUUUCAGGCUGUUUGUGAGGAUUGCAUAAGAGAAAUUUGGAAAGCACUAGCUCAGUGAGUGACUUAUAGUAAGUGCUCAAUAGAUGCUAGCUAUUUUUUUGUGGCUAUUAUAAAAGCACUUCUCAGAGAACAUCCAUUUGCUCUCUUUCCCUCCUCUGGUCUCCCCCCACUUUCCUUUCCUAAUAGGAGUCUACAUCUGGGAACCAAAAACAUGAGAGAGAGAGACAGAAAGAGACAGAGACACAGACAGAGACAGACAGAUGAUGGAUGCUUCCAGAGAUCCUCUCAACUUGGCUGGGAGCUUCUUUGUCCAUGCUGUAAGACGGGCAUCUUGAGGAACACGCAAGGAAAGGAGAAUGAAGGCAUCUCACACGCAAGAUGGUCCAGAUGCCCCCUGGAAGAGGCAUCUUCGUCUUCAACAGAUUGAGGACAGUUGGCUGCCAUUCACUGCUUGUGAAGGUAAAAAGGCUUAAACUUCAGACAAAUCUGGAGGAUGAGAUACUAUGUGAAGAGAACCCUCAGCCAUUCCAGCCAUCCCAUCUGACACCAUAGACAUAUGAGUGAGAUUCUAGACAGUGGCUGUUGAGCCACUAGUGAAAUGUGGCUAGUAUGAAUUGAAAUGUAUUGUUGUUUUUUUAAGUUUUUAUUUAUUUAUUUUGAGAGAGAGAAAGAGUAUAAGACGGGGAGGAGCAGAGAGAGGGGGAGAGAGACUCCCAAGCAGGCCCCACACUGUCAGCGCAGAGCCCGAUGCAGGGCUCGAACCCACGAACUACAAGAUCAUGACCUGGACUGAAACCAAGAGUUGGAUGCUUAACUGACUGGGCCACCCAGGUGCCCCUGAAUUGAAAUGUAUUGUAAGUGUAAAAAUACAUACUGGACUUUAAACACUUGUAUGAUGAAAGAAUGUAAAAUAUUUCACUAAGAAUUUUUAUGUUAAUUAGACAUUGAAAUAAUAGUAUUUUGGACAUAUUGUGUUAACUUAAAAUAAACUUCACUUGUUUCUUUUAGGUUUUUUAAAUGUGGCUACUAGAAAUUUCAAAUUUCAGAUGUGGUUUGUAUUACACUUCUAUUGGAUAGCUCUAUUCUAGACUGUUUAGCCACAGACAAGCCAUCCCAGACCAGAAGGACCAACAGGAUUGGAGCAAAUAAAAUUGUUGUUGCUUUAAAUCACUAAAUUUUGUCAUGUUCUGUUAUGUAGCAAAAAUGACCUGUUACCAGAAGUAUACUGUACUUUAUAGAUCCUCCCAAUUCAGCAUCUUGGCCUUUAUGGGAACGAGCCAGACCCCCAAGGAAGCUUGGAAAAAAAGCGGUCAUUGUGAAGAACAAUGACCAGUGAUCUGGUGCUGGAACUGGGAACAUCAGUGAAAAGGUUGCAGACUUUGGAGGGGCUGGAGACUGUUGAGAGAUCUUCACCUUCUCAGAUUCCCAGCCUGGAAGACACGCCUCCUCAGCCUGCAGCUCUGGAGAGCAAGGGCUUUUGGGAAUCCUGGAGAGGCCCUUCCUCCCCUUUCCCACUCCUGUUCUCCUUUCCUAUCUUCUCUGUGUGUGCUCUGCUGUCCUAUCCCACAGAGCUCUGUGGGAAAAAAACACUACAUCAACAACAACAAGAUAAUAAAGGGCAUGUCAAUGAGAGAACAGGAGGAGGGAGGGGAAAGGGUGAUUUUGGCAGCAAUAACCCAUCAUCUAGAGCCUCUGUGCUUCCCUCAACUCCCUCCUCCCUGAACCAGAUGGGACUAGAUGUCAGAGCUAGAGGAAGCCAUAGAGAUCGUCCAACCUAGCCCUCUUCCUCUUACAAAUGAGUUAAGCUAAGGCUCAAAGAUGUUAAAUGACUUGCCUAGGGUCAACAGGAAAUUAGUGGUGGCAGGUCUAGGGCCCGAUUUCUCAACUUCUGGGCAUAGCACCUCUUUGGAAGGCCAACCCUCUCAUACCACUCUAUUUACUGGCUUUUGCUUUCAUCAUUUGAUGUCUUAUGGAUACUCUGGUUCUUGAUGACUUGAGCACAGUAUUAGAAAGUAUUCAUCCCAGGGACUUUGGCAUCCAUAUGUGGGCAUCUCUGCCCUCCCGGGUCAGUUCUUUGAGGAAGUCAGUUCCAAUGACCUUUAUCUCUGUUCCCUUUAGUUGCUCAUCAGCCAUAUAUUAGGUAUAGUUGCUACACCAUGGCUCAACUCAGAAUUGCUUUUCUUCAAGAGUCCAGCCUCCUGUAUGUCGAGUCUUCUCACUUGCCUGCUUCUGUGAAAUGUUCUCUUAGGUUCCCUCUGUGCUGAGGUGAUUUCCCCCCAGGGUGGAGGUGCUCAGCACUUCCUUCCAGGAGCUUGCCACCCUUCCUUGGAACAGAAGAAUGCUCAACUGGAAGGCUGCUUACUGUUGACAAAGCAGCCUGCAAGAAGACAUUGAAACCAAUAACCGAAAAAGGAUCUGGAUAAAGGAUGAAAUCUGUCUGGUAUCUGGAACCUUGUUACCAUCAUGCUAAGCAUCCUGAUUUUCUGAAAAGAUUUUUGACUUUUCAUCCAGGUGUUUAAAGUCAGGAAGACACAUCCAAUGCUGUAUAACUACAAAGCUGAUUGCCAUCUCAGUAUCAGAAGGCACAAAUAACAGUGUGGUUCAAUCCAGGGAAAUCAGCCAUAAUGACUUUCAUGGGCCUAAGGAGCUGGCCUUUGGAUUCUUUCUGGUCCACCUGACAAACACUCAAGGUGGCUGUCUCGGUCCAUUCUGGUAGCUAUAACACAAAUACCACAGGCUCGGAAGCUUAGAAAUCACAGGAAUCCACUUCUCACAGUUCUGCAGGGUGCAAGUACAAGAUCAGGGUGCCAGCACGGUCAGGUUCUGGGGGAAUGUCUCUUACGGACUGCAGGUUGCCCACGCCUUGCUGUGCCCUCACAUGGUGGAAGGUGCAAGGGCUCUCUCUGGAGUCUCCUUUACAAGGGCAUGGAUCCCAUUCAUGACCUCACAGCUCUCAUGACCUAGUCAUGUCUCAGAGGUCACAGCUCCUAGCACCAUCGCCUUGGGUGUUUCAACAUAGGAUAUCAACAUAUGAAUUUUGGGGGGACAUAAACACUCACACCAUGGCAGUGAGACAGGAGAGAAAAGCUCCACGAAGUGAUGUGAGAGUGGAAAGGAGAAAAGCAUGUGAUGCUAUCCAGGAACCAUCUAAGGAAACAACUCUUCUGAGGCAGAUUGAGAAUUUUAAAACAACACUCUCCCACCCAACUGCCCCAUGACAUCUGUUAACACAAGAGGCAGAGCUAUUUCCUGGAAAGGCUCCUUGUGUUUACAAGGGUGAGACCCUCUUGAUGUUUUCGUAACUUUAAUUAAAGAGCUGAGGGAUGGAUUUAUAUCCUCAGCAGUUCCCAUGGGGGAACACACAGGCUGGUUGUACACAAUGCAGCACAUUCAAAUAAAAAAGAGAAAAAGUCAAUCAAUUAUCCAGAUGUUUUUGCAUUUUACAUGAAUGUAGCCACAGUGGGGCUUUGGUCCUUGAUAAUAAUGGAUUAUUCUUGCAAAAUGGUGGAGAAAAAUGUUCUUGAAAGGAAGGAAAAGGGUGUUUUCCCAGUACUCUUUUGCAUUUUCUUUUCCUUUGUGAGUUUAACAAUAUCAAGCAGAACAUGGAGACAGAGGAGACAUGACAGAAAGAAGCCUAAGACAUGCCCCUCCCUUCAGACUGCAGUGGGUGCUUCUGGUUGGAAUAGAGCAGCCUUGAAGUGGCGGGUAAGGGGGUGGAACAUCUCUUAAACAGAGUCUGCCAUUCUGUAGUGUGCAGAAUACCACACAGUAGGUGUGUGCUCACAAAGUGUUAAUGGUGGGGCGCCUUGGUGACUGUCGGUUAAGCGUCUGACUCUUGAUUUUGGUGGUUGUCAUGGCUCGUGGGUUCGAGCUGGCGCUGGGCUCUGCGCUGACAGCAGGAAGUCUGCUUGGGAUUCUCUCUCUCUCUCUCUCUCU